GACGCCGGUAGCGUAGAAGCAGCAGUCAGUACGUGAUGCACGAGGUCAAGUGUACGCGCUUCAGAGAGAGCGCGUCUCAUCGUAACUGUAUCGUCAUGUUUCUUGCAGGAGCCGAACCUUGACCCUGAUGCACGCACGGUGAUGGGAUUACUGACGCCUGUCAACUUCCCGCAGCCUGGAGGUCAAAGAUGGGUACAAGGAGUGGAGCCUGGUCUCCAACAGCAGGACCCUCUGGCGCAGCUCCUCAUAAUCAUAGGCCCCCAUCUCUUCUUGGAUGGCCAUCAGCACCAGAGACAGAUUCCUCACCUCCUCUCGAAGACGAAGGAUCAUCUUGGCAUCCGCCUUGUAUUGUUCCAGCACUGGCAGCAGGGGGAGCAGGGUUCCCUCUGCUCCAAUGACAUCACAUCUAACAGCCUGGGCCUAUGGCAUGUCUCCCAUCCACAACCUCCCAUCCUCCAAAGAAGAAGAAGAAGAAAAAAAAAAAGGCGAUUAAAGUGGAAGUGACUGAUAGACUGAUAGGCAGAAAAGGAAGAGUUGUGGUUUGAGAAAGGCUGACAGGGAAGAGAGAGAUGGCUCUGAUUUCCUCUAGCUGGGUUCAAAUGCUGCCCAGUUACAGUGCUGAAUGACAACUUCAGUUCAGUCCAUGCUGAGAGAGGGGAAGAGGAGAUGAGGUGAGAAGGGGUCAUUACUAAACUGAAAGCAGGAAUCAGAUGCUUUUCC